CCCUUAUCAAGAGUGGCGGAGGGAACGGCCCGAUGAAGCCACGGCAACCUGUUUUCACAAGGUGCCAAUUCCGACGGAAACGACAGAUGAGGA
rfam:Oscillibacter sp. 57_20 Ley3_66761_scaffold_189, whole genome shotgun sequence.